GUGCUCGCUUCGGCAGCACAUAUAGUAAAAUUGGAACUAUACAGAAAAGAUUAGCAUGGCCCCUGCACAAGGAUGACACACAGAUUUGUGAAGCAUUGCAUAUUUUU
ensembl:snRNA RNU6-1103P RNA, U6 small nuclear 1103, pseudogene